CCUCCGUGUGACCAUGAAACCUGUGUUAGUGUUUGUAUGUCACCCUGUAUACCCAUAAUUGUGGCCCUGUAUGACUGCUGUGUAUGGAGAGACUACUUGGAAGAUUGAUAGGAUUGGAUUCUUUAUGAGUGUGGCUGUUUGGAAUUGUGUGUUGCCGGGAUAGGAAAUGUGGAAUAGAAUUCCUGUCCCCAGUCCAAGGGUUUCAGUAAGAAGCAAAGCUGGGGUGACUGAAGCUCCUAACUGAAGCAGGAGACACCCUCACUUCUGUGUGACAGGAGGCCUUGCCCUCCCAAGACACUGUUCUUCAAGAGAAAGACCAGAAGAGAAGGCAAAAAUGAAUGUUGAAGUAGUAAAAGUCAUGCCCCAGGACUUAGUGACAUUCAAGGAUGUGGCAAUAGAUUUUUCCCAGGAAGAAUGGCAAUGGAUGAACCCUGCUCAGAAGCGUUUAUACAGGAGUAUGAUGUUGGAGAACUAUCAGAGCCUGGUAUCACUUGGUCUUUGCAUUUCUAAGCCAUAUGUGAUCUCCUUAUUGGAGCAAGGGAGAGAGCCUUGGGAGAUGACGAG
rnacentral:lncRNA from 1 species